rnacentral:antisense_RNA from 1 species
GAUAGCCAUAGAUGACCAAUGGGUUGAGAGUGGGGUCGGUGACAACUCGGACAUCGUGAAUUGUGGAGUCGUAUAUUCCUCCCCAAAACAUCGCUUUUCCUACCAGCAGUAAAGCACCUACCCCUAAGAAAAUCAGGUGAUGUCCUAAGAUAAAACCAAGUUUUUUCGGGUCGUCCCA